AGCGAACGCUGGCGGCAGGCCUAACACAUGCAAGUCGAACGAAGUCUUCGGACUUAGUGGCGGACGGGUGAGUAACACGUGGGAACGUACCUUUUGGUUCGGAACAACUCAGGGAAACUUGAGCUAAUACCGGAUGAGCCCUUAGGGGGAAAGAUUUAUCGCCGAAAGAGCGGCCCGCGUUAGAUUAGCUAGUUGGUGAGGUAAAGGCUCACCAAGGCUACGAUCUAUAGCUGGUCUGAGAGGAUGAUCAGCCACACUGGGACUGAGACACGGCCCAGACUCCUUCGGGAGGCAGCAGUGGGGAAUCUUGCGCAAUGGGUGAAAGCCUGACGCAGCCAUGCCGCGUGAAUGAUGAAGGUCUUAGGAUUGUAAAAUUCUUUUACCAGGGACGAUAAUGACGGUACCUGGAGAAAAAGCCCCGGCUAACUUCGUGCCAGCAGCCGCCGUAAGAC
rnacentral:rRNA from 1 species